UCGCGCAGGCGGGAGAGUAGUGGCCUCCUGAACCCGAAAUCCACUAUAGCGGGGCUGAUGCUUGACCGAGGUUGAAUUGGGUAUAAGGAUACUGGGCAAGCGGUGUUGAGAAUUGGGCCCGAUGCGACGGAACACUGUGAACCGGGUCAGGUCCGGAAGGAAGCAGCCAUAAGCAGGUCGUUUCGUGCGCCAUCGGCAAUCCUGGUUUGAGCUGGCUACUCAGAGAAUUAUACUCAAAGAGAGCGAAGAAAAGCGCGCGA
rnacentral:SRP_RNA from 2 species